GAUGAAGAACGUAGCGAAAUGCGAUAAGUAAUGUGAAUUGCAGAAUUCAGUGAAUCAUCGAAUCUUUGAAGGCACAUUGCGCCCGUCAGUAUUCUGGCGGGCAUGCCUGUUCGAGCGUCAUUACGCCCCUCAAGUCCCCUGUGGACUUGGUGUUGGGGAUCGGCGAGGCUGGUUUUCCAGCACAGCCGUCCCUUAAAUUAAUUGGCGGUCUCGCCGUGGCCCUCCUCUGCGCAGUAGUAAAACACUCGCAACAGGAGCCGGGCGCGGUCCACUGCCGUAAAACCCCCCAACUUUUUAUAGUUGACCUCGAAUCAGGUAGGACUACCCGCUGAACUUAAGCAUAUCAAUAAGCGGAGGA
rnacentral:misc_RNA from 1 species